UGAGGAAUUUUGCGCAAUGGGGGAAACCCUGACGCAGCGACGCCGCGUGGAGGAUGAAGGCCUUCGGGUCGUAAACUCCUGUCAGAGGUGAAGAAUGCCCGCAAGGGUUUGACGGUAACCUCAGAGGAAGCCCCGGCUAACUACGUGCCAGCAGCCGCGGUAAUACGUAGGGGGCAAACGUUACACGGAAUUACUGGGCGUAAAGGGUGCGUAGGCGGCUGGGAAAGUCAAGGAUGAAAUCCCGUGGCUCAACUGCGGAACGGUCCUUGAAACUACUCGGCUUGAGGAUAACCGAAGAGAACGGAAUUCCCGGUGGAGCGGUGAAAUGCGUAGAUAUCGGGAGGAACACCUGAGGCGAAAGCGGAUCUCUAGACUACUCCUGACGCUGAGGCACGAAAGCUAGGGGAGCAAACGGG
rnacentral:rRNA from 1 species